rnacentral:tRNA from 1 species
GGAUCCAUAGCUCAGCUGGCAGAGCAAGCGGCUCAUAACCGCUCGGUCGCAGGUUCGAGCCCUGCUGGAUCCA